CUACGGGACGCUGCAGUGAGGAAUAUUGCACAAUGGAGGAAACUCUGAUGCAGCAACGCCGCGUGGAGGAUGACGCAUUUCGGUGUGUAAACUCCUUUUAUAUGUCAAGAAAAUGACGGUAGCAUAUGAAUAAGCACCGGCUAACUCCGUGCCAGCAGCCGCGGUAAUACGGAGGGUGCAAGCGUUACUCGGAAUCACUGGGCGUAAAGGACGCGUAGGCGGGAUAUCAAGUCAGGUGUGAAAUCCUACAGCUUAACUGUAGAACUGCACUUGAAACUUCUAAUCUAGAGUAUGGGAGGGGGAGAUGGAAUUAGUGGUGUAGGGGUAAAAUCCGUAGAUAUCACUAGGAAUACCUAAAGCGAAGGCGAUCUCCUGGAACAUUACUGACGCUAAGGCGUGAAAGCGUGGGGAGCAAACAGGAUUAGAUACCCCCGUAGUC
rnacentral:rRNA from 1 species